GAGAUCUCACAUGCAAACAAUGACCAGUCAUCCAUAAUCUAGAUGCACUUAAUGUAAGAACAAAUCCUCUGUUCCAAACUUCAACAUGUUAAAAAUUUUCAAUACCUAUGAU